CCUACGGGUGGCAGCAGUGAGGAAUAUUGGUCAAUGGGCGGGAGCCUGAACCAGCCAAGUCGCGUGAGGGACGACGGUCCUAUGGAUUGUAAACCUCUUUUGUCGGGGAACAAAGGCGCCCACGGGUGGGCGGAUGAGUGUACCCGAAGAAAAAGCAUCGGCUAACCCCGCGCCAGCAGCCGCGGUAAUACGGAGGAUGCGAGCGUUAUCCGGAUUUAUUGGGUUUAAAGGGAGCGUAGAUGGGUUGUUAAGUCAGUUGUGAAAGUUUGCGGCUCAACCGUAAAAUUGCAAUUGAUACUGGCAGGCUUGAGUACAGUUGAGGUAGGCGGAAUUCGUGGUGUAGCGGUGAAAUGCUUAGAUAUCACGAAGAACUCCGAUUGCGAAGGCAGCUUACUAAACUGCCACUGACAUUGAUGCUCGAAAGUGUGGGUAUCAAACAGGAUUAGAUACCCGAGUAGUC
rnacentral:rRNA from 1 species